GGUGGGCACUCUAAGGAGACUGCCGGUGACAAACCGGAGGAAGGUGGGGAUGACGUCAAAUCAGCACGGCCCUUACGUCCAGGGCUACACACGUGCUACAAUGGUCGGUACAAAGGGUUGCCAAGCCGCGAGGUGGAGCUAAUCCCAUAAAACCGAUCGUAGUCCGGAUCGCAGUCUGCAACUCGACUGCGUGAAGUCGGAAUCGCUAGUAAUCGUGAAUCAGAAUGUCACGGUGAAUACGUUCCCGGGCCUU
rnacentral:rRNA from 1 species